CGCGGGGUGGAGCAGCUCGGUAGCUCGUCAGGCUCAUAACCUGAAGGUCGUAGGUUCAAAUCCUACCCCCGCAA
rnacentral:tRNA from 8 species